rnacentral:pre_miRNA from 2 species
ACCUGCUCCCUGAGACCCUAACUUGUGAGCUCUCUUGAUAAAAAAUCACGGGUUCGGCUCUCGGGACGCGGG